rnacentral:rRNA from 1 species
CCUACGGGGGGCUGCAGUGGGGAAUAUUGCACAAUGGGCGCAAGCCUGAUGCAGCCAUGCCGCGUGUGUGAAGAAGGCCUUCGGGUUGUAAAGCACUUUCAGCGGGGAGGAAGGCGGUGAGGUUAAUAACCUCAUCGAUUGACGUUACCCGCAGAAGAAGCACCGGCUAACUACGUGCCAGCAGCCGCGGUAAUACGGAGGGUGCAAGCGUUAAUCGGAAUUACUGGGCGUAAAGCGCACGCAGGCGGUCUGUCAAGUCGGAUGUGAAAUCCCCGGGCUCAACCUGGGAACUGCAUUCGAAACUGGCAGGCUAGAGUCUUGUAGAGGGGGGUAGAAUUCCAGGUGUAGCGGUGAAAUGCGUAGAGAUCUGGAGGAAUACCGGUGGCGAAGGCGGCCCCCUGGACAAAGACUGACGCUCAGGUGCGAAAGCGUGGGGAGCAAACAGGAUUAGAUACCCGGGUAGUC